rnacentral:rRNA from 1 species
AUUGAACGCUGGCGGCAGGCCUAACACAUGCAAGUCGAGCGGAGCGGCGGACGGGUGAGUAAUGCCUAGGAAUCUGCCUGGUCGUGGGGGAUAACGUCCGGAAACGGGCGCUAAUACCGCAUACUAUCAGAUGAGCCUAGGUCGGAUUAGCUAGUUGGUGGGGUAAAGGCCCACCAAGGCGACGAUCCGUAACUGGUCUGAGAGGAUGAUCAGUCACACUGGAACUGAGACACGGUCCAGACUCCUACGGGAGGCAGCAGUGGGGAAUAUUGGACAAUGGGCGAAAGCCUGAUGCAGCCAUGCCGCGUGUGUGAAGAAGGUCUUCGGGUUGUAAAGCACUUUAAGCGAGGAGGCGUUACCCGCAGAAUAAGCACCGGCUAACUCCGUGCCAGCAGCCGCGGUAAUAC